CAGUCGCCACGGUAAUACGGAGGGUGCAAGCGUUAAUCGGAAUUACUGGGCGUAAAGCGCACGCAGGCGGUCUGACAAGUCAGAUGUGAAAUCCCCGGGCUUAACCUGGGAACUGCAUUUGAAACUGUCAGGCUGGAGUCUUGUAGAGGGGGGUGGAAUUCCAGGUGUAGCGGUGAAAUGCGUAGAGAUCUGGAGGAAUACCGGUGGCGAAGGCGGCCCCCUGGACAAAGACUGACGCUCAGGUGCGAAAGCGUGGGGAGCAAACAGGAUUAGAUACCCCCGUAGUCCAUGUCUCUUAUAA
rnacentral:rRNA from 1 species